rnacentral:misc_RNA from 1 species
UUUCCGUAGGUGAACCUGCGGAAGGAUCAUUAAUGAGUUGUCAUGGGGUUCGAUGCUGGCAGCCAGUUUUUGGAUGCAUGUGCUUGCCCUAACAAUCAUCUUCUUCCAAACACCUGUGCACAUUUUUGAGGGAGUCUUGAGUUGGUUGCCGCUCUUGGGUGAUUUUCUCACAUUCCCUUAAAUCAUUAUACGCUAUUAACAAUGCUGAACGUGCUCUGUGCCGCAAGGCCAUUAAUAUAAUACAACUUUUAACAACGGAUCUCUUGGCUCUC